GUGUACUGUUUGUAUUAAGUUGUAGAUAAUUUGAUUGCUGUAAUUAUUAUUUAGGAUUGUAGCAUGUAAAAGUGCAGAAGUAAGAUAUUACAUACACAAUGUAUUUAUUUAUCUGAUAUGUGUGAACUACUCUACAUUUACUGGGUUUCGAAGCUCCAAGAGUCUGGUAGCAAAAUGGACUGUUCCAGAAAUCUAUGUGGCUGCUCUGCUAUCUUUCCUCCUCUUCAUGAUCCACAAUCUUGUUCACAUCAGAGCACUACACUAUAUCUUACCAAACCCUCUCCUCUUCUUGGGUCUCCAAAAUUUUUUCGAGAAUCCAUCCAAGAAAGCUUUCUGAGCUCAAUUCCUCCAAUGGCUACCCUCUAAAUGCAGUUUCUUUGCAAAAUGGUGAGUGUGUGUGUGUAUAUAUAUAUAUAUUUACCUUUUUGGUACUAUUUUAAUGCUAGAAACCUGUAUAACUUUAUCUUUAAUUGGUUAAGCUCUAUUGCUGCAUUUCUUGGUUGUUCAUGUUAGCAUUUAUUCGAUAUUUUAUCCAAAACUAAGAUAAAAUAUCUGUAUCAUUUAGAAUAUUAGUUGUCUUUAUGUCAUUUUUGGCUUACUUUAGUGCUAGUUAAGCAAGUGAAGUUCUUUUCUUAUAAAGCAGAUUCCCGGGAAGAGGAAAAAAAACAAGAAUUGUACUAGUAAACUAGAAAAAGGAGAUUACUUUGUGUUCAAUUUCGAAACUGAAACACUAAAGUGGAAGAUCUAGAAAAAAUUGAUUGCAGAAAUAAGUGUGGAUAAGGACUUUAUAAUAGAUGUACUAGUAUUUAUUGAGGAAAUCGAUAAGGAUUUGUACAAUGUUGGGAAGUCUACAAUUAUGUCAUUUGGUCUAAUAUUCUACCAAUCCCUUCCAUUGACUAUUGAUAUCACCAAAUUGAUGUGUUUUUAAAUGGUCUUAUUGAUUUCUCGAUGAUUUAAACUUCAAAGCCCCAUUUACUGGAUUGUUCUUAACAAUUUCCUGCUUUUGUAAUUUUUCAAUUUGGUUUCUCCUACAUGGACACGUGGAUUUGUUGAGAAAGUUCAAUGUCAAAGCCCUUUGCAGAAAAACUACCUUUUCCAAAGCCUGAGAAGCAGAGACCACUCUCAGCAUAACUGUUGGUGCUUCAGGGGGCACUUUCCAAGAAGAAGAUUUUUUCUGCAGUAUGUGCUCCUUUUUAUGAAGAUUUUCUACCUGAGCUUCCAUUUCUGUAUUGAUUUUCGUUUAUUUGGUCAUCUAAGAUUUUCAAGACCUAGAUAGUAGAGAAUGUAAUUAUUAUUGUCACACGGUCUGGUAAACCUGUUCCCGAAUGUUGUUUGCUAACCAUAAUUGUGCAAAACUUCAUUGUCUUUGGUUAUGCUCGGACCAAAAUAACUGAUGAGGAGCUGAGAAGCAUAAUUAGCACAGCCUUGACAUGUAGAAGUUGACAAAAGGUGCGUGUACUUGAUGAAAGAAUUCUAAAGUUUAGUAUAUAUUCUGAUAAUUUACUUUCCAUUAACUUGUGGUUAAAAAACUUCCAGAGAAAAUUGCAAGGACAAAAUGGAACAACUUCUUAUGAAAUGUUACUAUGACAGUUUGGAGGGCAACUUUGCAGAACGGGAAUGCAAGCUCAAAGAGAAAGAGGUGAUGCCUGUUCUUGGCUAAAGACCUGAUUUGAUUUGCAUGCUUUUAUCUAUCAACAAAAUUUUAAUAGUUUAUGUUAUAAAAAAAAAGUAGUUUGGGUGAAAUUCUUUAUAUGCAAUAAUGUUUGAUGAAGCAUAAUAGAACAAAUGUGAGCUAAUCAUUUUGUCUAUUGAUGGCGUAUAAUGGCAUAAACAUGCUUUUAGUGCCAUCAAAGAUUCAUACAUUGAGCAUCUGAGAAAGUAGAUUUCCAUAAAAGUGCAAAGUUAUAGUAAAUUAUCAGUCUUUUGAAAUAUUUUCUGGAAAACUGCUAAUGUUGUUGCAUCCUUGGACAUUAGCUUAGUCAACAUUAUGCAUUGCAGUUUCACAUUAUAGAAUGGUCUUGAAGACCAAAUUUUGGCUUUGUUGUUGUCAUGUGUGCUUAUUGUUUUCAUCGUUCUGAUUUUCUAUUUCUGUGCAUGUCUUGUUUGAUAGAUUCAUUAGCUUAGUCAACAUUAUGCAUUGCAGUUUCACAUUAUAGAAUGGUCUUGAAGACCAAAUUUUGGCUUUGUUGUUGUCAUGUGUGCUUAUUGUUUUCAUCGUUCUGAUUUUCUAUUUCUGUGCAUGUCUUGUUUGAUAGAUUCUGAGCUAAAAGGUGAUCAUUUGCUAUUACUACAAGUAGUUACCUUUAACUAUGUGUUGUACAGAAGGAUGAGUUGAUAUGCAAUGAUGCUUCUUUUAGGAUUCUGUAGGUUCAAUAGACUUGCCCAGAAAAACUAAAGAUAACCGUCACAUUCAUGUUUCUGCUUGCUGUUUUCUUGUUUGAAAACCUUGUAUUUUGGUUUGCCUCCAUAAAUGUGGGUGGGUAGUUUGAUAUAUUUGAAGUUUUUGUGUAUCUACUGUAUGUUCAAUUACCUAAUUCCGUAAGUUAAAUCCUUGUCACUAAACUUUUGGCAAAAUUGGCAAGGCAUAUUUGUUUUUUUGUUAUUUGAUCUUUUCCAGUAGCCAGUUCUCUUUGAAUCUCCUCUAUUUUUUUUUUUUUUUUUUUUGCAUCUGGGAAAGGUUGGAAACCAGUUCUUAGAUGUGGAAUGUUGACAAUAGUAUAUUCAUAUACUUACUACUCAGGGUGAUGGUCUGUCAAAUAAGUUAUUUUAUUUAUCAAUACCUCCAAACAUAUUUGUGGAUGUGGUGAAAUGUGCUGGCAUUAAAGCUUCUUCAAAAAGUGGAUGACAAGGGUCAUUGUGGAAAAGGCUUUUGGUCGUGAUUCAGAGUCCUGUAGAGAACUAAUGAUAUGUCUAAUGCGGUAUCUAUCUGAGGAUCAAAUAUUUUGGUAGGCUUAAUAGCACCAUCUUGUAAUAAGCCUAAAUCAUUGACAGUGGCUGAUUAAUUCGAGUUUGUUGACUUUUGUUCAGAAUUGACCAUUAGCUGGAAAAGGAAGUUGCUGAGAAUCUGCUAGUGGUUCAAUUCUCAAAUCUGGUUUUGGAGCCUCUUUGGUCUAGAAUUUACAUAAGCAAUGAGCAAUUUAUCUUCCCUAGUACCCAUGGAUGAGGAGGGUGAGUUUCUCAUGUUUCCUUCUGAUUAAACAAAGUGAAAUAAAAUUACCCUUCCAAGGAUUAAAGCAAAAUUCCUAAUGCUUGGAUUCUAGAUACUUUGACAACUAAGGGAUUAUAGAAGAUAUCAUGCAAAAUCAUUUGUUUCAAAUAUUAGCUUUGUUUGCAAUGUAGACACUAGCAAGCUUGGAUGCCGCCUUUAGAAAUCAAAAGGUAUUCAACUUUGUGCUUGUCUGUCUUGGAAAGAUCACUUGCCCAAUUGAAUUUGCUAUUCUGUUAAUUUGCAUUUUCUUUUUGCAAAUUCGCUUAUGAGAACAAAUUUUAGUACUCCACCUUCCCUUUCAUGUUAAGAAAAACUCUCAAAAGCCUUUGAAAUCUUCAAAAAGGGCAAAUAGGGAAAACCCCCUGUGGAACAAAAUAAAUGUGUAGUAGUAUUAGCAUUGUAGGUUCAGCUCAAGGUUUUGAGAUCAUGGAGGACACUGCAGGUAGAUGUGAUUGUUGGCCAGUAUAAGGGCAAUAACAACGAUAGUAGAUCCUAUCCAGGACAUACAGACAAUGAAACUGUGCCAGAGGACACACUCCUACUUCUGCUGCUGCUACUCUACUUUUUUUCACAAUGCUUGCUGGAUAGAGUUCCAUUCCUGCUAACGGCAGGCAAAUCUCUCCAUAGCAAAAGUAAGUAAAUAUUUGUCCUUAACAAAUGGAUUCUACAUAGAGAUCUGUAUAGCAAAGCGUUCUGACAAUUGUCCCUUUGAAACCUUAGAGCUGAGAUUGGAGUCUAGUUUAUGCAUGUCCUAGUAAUUUUUACAUGAAAAAGUUUUGAACUGACUUGGAUAAGGCUAUAAAUGAGCUAGUGCUUCGGUCACAACCACAUGACGCUGUAUAUUUAAAGAUCAACAACUAAGUUCCAGGUCUUGGCAUGAGACUGGAUUGGGAUGACUUAAUCUUCUUUAGGUAAGAGAUUGAUGAUGCUAUUACAUGUCAAUUUCUUCAUACUAUGGUGCGCUGUUGAAUACUUUUAUUGUAUCAUUGUCUAAAUUCAAAAGUUUUCUGCUGUUUCAAAUAUCACUUUGGAUGCAGUAUAUCUUUUCCUCCAAUUAUUUGCUCACAAAUUAUGUUCAUAUUACAUCUCAUAGACAAUCAGUAAACCUCUUGCUUAAAUUGGAGAUUCCCUAUGGAUUAUGUGUUUUUCUUUUUUUUUUUGGGAGGGGGGUGGGGGGUCGUUUGUUUUCAAAUACUACAUUGUAACAUUGUACAUAAAAAAAAAAUUGACAUUGUAGAUGUAUUUCGGGGUGUUUUUAAAAUUUAAAAUUUUAUUGGAUUUUUUUUCUUUAAAAAAAUCCUACCCCAACCACCCAUCACCCCUUUCGUCCUUCCCCACCACUUGCAUCACCCUCUCUCGCAUCGCCACAAUCCCUUCUUCUCUCCCUCCUCCUCAUCUCUCCUUUUAAUUCCUCCUCCCUUCCCCCUCUCCCUCUCCAUGACUGGUCUUGGCCUGCGAUCUCAUUGCAGGUUGUGAUUAGAUCUAGUUGCUUCUCAACUAGAUUGUGGGUGGGCUGCGAAUGUUACGACCGGAUUGUGUGGGGAGAAGGAGGGGAGGAGAGUGUGGGGAAGGGGGAGGGGAGGAAGGGGGAGGAGGAUGGAGAGGGAAGAGAGAGGAGGGAGGGGGGCGGGGGUUGGCGGUGAUGGUGAAUGGUGUUGUGUGGUGGAUGGUGAUGGUAGGAAAUUUUUUUUUUUUAUAUUUUUUAUUAGGUGUAGUUGAGAUUGUAUGGAUUAGGUGUUUUUGGAGUGUGUUAUUGUAGACUCCAAAAAUAAAAAUAGCCAAAUCCAAGUAGACUUGAAAUUUUUAAGUACUUAAUCUCACUUGGAAUGCUUUUUCUCGUACAGAGUUCACUAAUUUAAACAGAAAGCCAAAGGAGCUUAGUGGGAAGAUAUCUCUUUUCCCCAAGAACUAAGGAUUAUAGACAUGUUGGUAACAAAUCUUUAGGAAAUUUAGUUCCACAUUUUGAUCUGUGUUUGAAGGUAUAUAAGCAAAAUACUACAUGCCUAUGAAAGACUCAUAGAUGCAAUAGAAGAGGAAAGAAGGUCUUUUAUUGGAAGUUAUGGGCUUGAUGCUGCUUGGGCACUAUUUUCACCAUUGCUGAAAGAGCUUGGAGAAAAGAAAAUUUGCUUCUUAGCUGUACCCCUUUAGCAGCAUGGAUUGGUUGGAGCUAGCGUUCACCGUUUUGCCCGAGUCCGAGAUGGCUAGGGUAAUUCUAGAGGUGGCAAAAUGGGCGGGAUGGGCGGGAUUUGAUUGGGUUUGAGAUAGAACCGAGUCAUACGGGUUUGGGCCCAACCUUAUCCAUAUGUGUUUUGGGACUAACUUGGGCGGGAUCACUUUGGGAUGGGUUUAGAUUGAUCCCGUCCAAUACCCAAAUCUAUUUUCUACAUAUUUUUUUCUUUUAAUUUAUUUUUAUUUUUUAUAUAAAUUUAAUAUUUUUGAUUUAUUAAAUUUCUUUUAAUUUUAUUAAAUAAACAUGCAAGUGCUUUAUACUUAAGAUUCCCACCAAAAAUUGGAUUAACAAAUAAAAGAAAAAAUAGAUAUACAACCAUAUUCCAACAUAUAUCAAGAUGGUUAAGGUACUUAGGGUGUUGAAUAUUUAUCCUCAUUAUUGUCCAAUGAUGACAGGUUUAAAUUGAUUGAAAUGCUGGAAAUUCUUGUGGAUAAUGACUAGAAAGACUACUAGAUUAUAUUCGUUGGUAUGACUAUAAAAAUUGUUAAAGAUAAUUUUUGAAUCUAAGACUCCGUUUGGAUUGGCUAUUUUUUCAAAAAAUAAGUUUUUCAAAUAUAGUAUUACAGUAAUAUACAAUAAUUCAAAAAAUAUCCUAUCCAUAUUAGUAUAUCAAAUAUUUUAAAAAAAAAUUUAUAGUAAAAUUUUUUCAUAUACACUACUAUAAUAAAAUAUUUCAAAACCACCUCCCAAAAAUAACUAAUCCAAACGGAGCCCUUGCUAUUUGAGCCCAAUGAGUACCCAAGUAUUUUUCAAGAUUUCCCAUCAAUUAAUGGGUACAAUUGGGAUUUGUCCUAUUUUAAACCCAAUAUCAAAUUUCAGUACCCAUCCCGCCCAAAGUCUCCAUGGGCAUGGGUAACUCAUUGGGACUUGGAACAAAUUGCCACAUCUAGGUAAUUUGUGACAGCUCCACCUUCCCUUAAGGCGAACCAAAGGGGUUAGCGGACUGCCUGCUCAGCUCUCGUCAGGAUUAACGGUUCAGUUUAGAGCGAUCUAAUACGUUCCGGAACAUACAACGCGUGUAAACAAGUCAAAAGGUCAAAAUAAAAAAAAUGAAUACGGAAUCGGCCAUGAAUAGUAACCGACACGUCAAAACCCAACCAAACAUCAAGCAAAUAUUUACAUGUUGAAAUUAAGCAUAUACAAUCUAAAGUGGCAUACAAAAGUUAAUCAAAAGUGGAUACAUGCAUGGUUUGCCAAAUUAAAAGUGAAACAGAUCCAAAAGUACAUUUAGGGUUUCAAUCAAUGAGUUAUACAAAAGAUAUGUCCAACUAGCUCAAUUCGGCACCCAACUAUCAAUUGUAGUCCAAAAGUAUUUAUUUUCCUGUAAGAAAAACAAAAGGAAUAGGGUGAGCUUACGUCCAGUGAGAUAAUACAACUCAAGCAGCAAAGUUUACAUAAGCAUAAAGCUUUUCAUUCCAAUUCAUCAAAAGUAAACAAAGGCACAUAUCAAAAGUGGUGAUAAAAGGAUACGGGCGGCUCUCAAGAGCCCUUUUUCUCGUUUGCAUUCUUGAUCGAAGCUCAUUGACCCUCCGUCAAUGUUUAAGAGUAACCAACCGUAGACUCCACUUUACUUCCAUUCCUUCCACCCAACAUAUCCCUACCGGACCCGAAUUCCAAACACUUGCAAUGUGGUAUUAUUCGAGUAUAUCGGAAUUGAGAGUUUCAUACUACAAGAUUCCAUAUAACAGUUUUCCAAGGCUCAUUAAUUGUCACGACCAAGCUCUCGCUGGCUUGAUUCAAUCAACUAUCAAUGGGGUUGAACUCAAUGGUAACAAGCAUGGUCGUUGGAUACUCGUUCAAACGCCACCAAUUCAAUUACUUUCAUUUCAUGUAACAUUUCAAUCAUGGUAAACAAUAAUAUAAGACACAUGAGAGUGAUCAAGUACACCCUCACUUCAAACAAUAUUCAACGCAUCAAAUUCAAGUACAUCAAAGCCAUAUAGUAACACACAAGUGAGUAGUACACUUAUCAAGCUUGAAAAUGAUAUUUCAUGCACCUCCGUCAAAGGAGCGUUGUGAACCACCGUCAAAGGAGCGUUAUGAACCACCGUCACGCUCUAAAACAUGCAAACAAGUACAAUGAGACUCGAUAACGAGUCAUAAACCAAUGCCAAAUACUACCAAAAUAGUGUUCCAUAAGCAUACAUAAGCAUUAGAGGAAACCCAAAAAAUCCAGAAAUGGAGUUAAGUGCUCACAAAAAAAAAACAGUUUUUGACAUCAUUUUGUGGUUUUGGCACCAAAGGCACUACGAUUAUCGGAUGAAGGUGCAAAACACACCGUUUCGAAACUAAAAGAUAGGGCUACAAUAUUGCAGAAGGUCACUCAGUCCAGUUUUGAGUGUAACCAGGUCAAAAAUGCAAUAUACUACACCAGAACCGCAAAAACAGGUUCACAAAUCGCAUUCUGGUGCAAACAUCAUAAAUCAGGCUACCUAAGUCCAAAUUCAGUAAUUCCAAAGCCAUCCGAAAGCUAAGAAACAGGGCUACAAUUCAUCAAAAGACCUCAACAAUCAAUUCCGAAGCAUUCCCAACCAAAAUAACCCAUUACAGAAGCAAUUCUCAAAUUCGGGUAAAAUCAGGGCAGCAAGGGUAAUUCCGUCUUUUCUCAAGAUACGCUACUCCGAUUGACCUGAAAUUUUGCAGGCAUCUCUAAAAUAUCAUUCCCUACAACUUUCAUGUUUUAACCCAAGGCCAAUUCGGCCCCUAACUAUGAGCUACAGUGCCGGGCAGAAUGAAGAACAAUGAAACCCUAACCUUUCAAUUUUCUUUCCAAAACAGAAAUUGCUUGCAAUUAACCACUUUUUCCACCUUCUAGCUUCCUUAAAUACUAUUUCCAAUCAUCAUACAUGGCUACACCAUAAUAAUCAUAUUAAAACAGAAAUCACAUGAUUAAAUAGAAAAAUGUCAUCAAUCUCAACUCAAAUCAUGAAGUAGCACCAAUAAUUAUCACCUCAACUCACAUAAGUUACUAAUUAAACAUUAUUGGAAGGAAAAGAGUAGUUUCUUAGUCACUCACCUUAUAACACAAGAUAGGAAGCAAUUCAACUAUUCCAGGUCUAGUGCCUUCCUUUCACCAAUUUCGUCCCAACCGGCAUUUUCGUCCAUAUAGUGCCUCGUAUGGAGCCAUUUGAAUCGACGAAUGGUAGCUGUUGUUGUACGCAAACUCUACUAAGGUCAUGUGUUGACCUCAGUUGCCUCCAAAAUUCAGAAUGCAAGUCCGUAGCAUGGCCUCGAGAGUUUGGAUGGUUCGCUCCGAUUGUCCAUCCGUCUGAGGGUGAUAGGUCGUGUUCAAAUUGAGUUUCGUAUCCAGGGUUUCUUGGAACUUCUGCCAAAAUCGAGAUACGAACCGGGGAUCUCUAUCGGAAACGAUACUCACAGGAACGCCGUGUAGCCUCACGAUCUCAUCCAUGUACAGUUGGGCCAACUUGUCCAUGGAGUACUUCAUGUUUACUGGCAAGAAAUGGGCCGAUUUGGUUAAUCGAUCGACGAUCACCAAAACGGCAUCGUGCCCUUUUUGCGUCCGCGGCAAACCUGAAACGAAGUCCAUGGAUGGAAGAGGCUCAAGAAAAAGUCAAGUUGAUACGGCAACGACUCCAAACUGCUCAAAGUCGACAAAAGAGUUACGCAGACAAUCGAAGAAAAGACUUGGAGUUCGAAGUUGGAGAUCGUGUUUUCCUCAAGGUUACACCGUUACGGAGUGUCACGACGGGUAGAGGAAAGAAAUUGCAACCGAGGUUCGUCGGACCUUACAAGAUCCUGCAGAGGAUAGGUGCGGUAGCAUAUAGACUAGAGCUGCCGUCAAGUCUCUCUAGAAUUCACGACGUCUUCCACGUUUCGAUGUUAAAGAAGUACUAUCCCGAUCCAUCCCAUAUCUUACAAUCCGAGGAGAUCGACGUAGACGAAUCGCUUUCUUACGAAGAGAAACCUGUCCAAGUGCUUGAUCGGAAAGUUAAAGAGCUAAGAAACAACCGGAUUCCGUUGGUUAAGAUACUGUGGAGAAACCAUGGGAUAGAGGAAGUUACUUGGGAGAUGGAAGAGGAAAUGUGAAAGAAAUACCCUGAACUUUUCGUGAGUUGAGGUUAGAAAUUUCGAGGGCGAAAUUCUUUUAAGGGGGAGAGAGUGUGAGAACCCGUAAUUUUUUUUCAUUUCCUAGGUUUUAUUAUAUUCAAUGGCUUGUUUUUUGCAUUUUCGUAAUUAGGAAAAUUUCUAGAUACUUUUAAUGAGCACAUAUAGUUUUUAGAUGAUUUUUCUAGUAUCAAAUAGUUUUUGAGAAAUUUAGAGCGUAUACCGGACGUGGGACCCACUAGGACGAAAAGUUCGGAAAAAUUUGGCUAGUUAGGUUAAGUUUUGGAUACUGAAUUUAAUUUAUCGAGUGUUAUGAGAUAAUGAGAGGUUACCAAGUGGAUUAGUGUAAGAGAGACAAAAGUUAGGCAAACAAUUAAUGAAAGUGACAAGUGUCACUUAGAGAUUCAUUACCAUUUUUGACCACUAUUCAUUCUCUUACCAAUUUAUCAAAAUAACUCAAAAAGUUGACCCAAAAAUCCCCAAAAUUUGCAAGCUCAUGGCCGACCCUCUCUAAGGAGAAAAGAAAAGAAAAGCUCUCCAAAAUUUUGCUCCAAUUUUGCUCAAUCUUCAACUUCAACCGGUUAAAUUUGUAAUUGCUCCAUAAAUCUCCUCCACUUAGUGAUUUUAAGGUGAUUGGUGAAGUUGUUUGGAAAGUUAAGGUGUUGAAUUGCUUCCUAUCUUGUGUUAUAAGGUGAGUGACUAAGGAACUACUCUUUUCCUUCCAAUCAUGUUUAAUUAGUAACUUAUGUGAGUUGAGGUGAUGAUUAUUGGUGCUAUUUCAUGAUUUGGGUUGAGAUUGAUGACAUUUUUCUAUUUAAUCAUGUGAUUUCUGUUUUAAUAUGAUUGUUAUGGUGUAGCCAUGUAUGAUGAUUGGAAAUGAUAUUUAAGGAAGUUAGAAGGUGGAAAAAGUGGUUAAUUGUAAGCAAUUUCUGUUUUGGAAAGAAAAUUGGAAAGUUAGGGUUUCUUUGAUUUACAUUCUGCCCGGCACUGUAGCUCAUAGUUAGGGGCCGAAUUGGCCUUGGGUUAAAACAUGAAAGUUGUAGGGAAUGAUAUUUUAGAGAUGCCUGCAAAAUGUCAGGUCAAUCGGAGUAGCGUAGCUUGAGAAAAGACGGAAUUACCCUUACUGUCCUGGUUUUACCCGAAUUUGAUAGUUGCGUCUGUAAUUGGUUAAUUUGGUUGGGAAUGCUUCGGAAUUGGUUGUUGAGGUCUUCUGAUGAAAUGUAGCCUUGUAUCUUAGCUUUCGGAUGGCUUUGGAAUUACUGGAUUUGGACUUAAGUAGCCUGAUUUAUGAUGUUUGCACCAGAAUGCGAUUUGUGAACCUGUUAUUGCGGUUCUGGUGUAGUAUAUUGCAUUUUUUACUUGAUUACACUCGAAAUUGGGCUGAGUGACCUUCUGCGAUAUUGUAGCCCUAUCUCUUAAUUUCGAAACGGUGUAUCUUGCACCUUCAUCCGAUAAUCGUAGUGCCUUUGGUGCCAAAAUCGCAAAAUGAUAUCAAAAACUGUUUUUUUGGGUGAACACUUAACUUCAUUUCCGGAUUUUUCUGAUUUCCUCUCAUGCUUAUGUAUGCUUAUGGAACCCUAUUUUGGUAGUAUUUGGCAUCGGUUUAUGACUCGUUAUCGAGUCUCAUUGUACUUGUUUGCAUGUUUUUGGGUGUGACGGUGGUUCACAACACUCCUUUGACGGAGGUAUAUGAAAUAUUAUUUUCAAACUUGGAGAGUGUACUACUCACUUGUGUGUUACUAUAUGGCUUUGAUGUACUUGAGUUUGAUGCGUUGAAUAUUGUUUGAAGUGAGGGUAUACUUGAUCACUCUCAUGUGACUUAUAUCAUUGUUUACCAUGAUUGGAAUGUUACAUGAAAUGAAAGUAAUUGAAUUGGUGGCGUUUGGACGAGUAUUCAACGACCAUGCUUGUUACCAUUGAGCUCAACCCCAUUGGUAGUUGAUUGAAUCGAGCCGGCGAGGGCUUGAUCGUGACAAUUAAUGAGCCUUGGAGAACUGUUAUAUGGAAUCUUGUAGUAUGAGAGACUCUCGAUUCCGAUAUACUCGAGUAAUACCACAUUGCAAGUGUUUGGAGUUUGGGCCCGGUAGGGGUAUGUUGGGUGGAAGGAAUGGAAGUAAAGUGGAGUCUACGAUGGGUUACUCUUAAACAUUGACGGAGGGUCAAUGAGCUUCGAUCAAGAAUGCAAACGAGGAAAAGGGCUCUUGAGAGCCGCCCGUAUCCUUUUAUCACCACUUUUGAUAUGUGUCUUUGUUUACUUUUGAUGAAUUGGAAUGAAAAACUUUAUGCUUAUGUGAACUUUGCUGCUUGAGUGGUAUUAUCUUAUUGGGUGUAAGUUCAUCCUAUUCCUUUUGUUUUUCUUACAGGAAAAUAAAUACUUUUGGACUGCAAUUGAUAGUUGGUUGCCGAAUUGAGCUAGUUGGAUAUAUCUUUUGUAUAGCUUAUUGAUUGAAACCCUAAAUGUACUUUUGGGUCCGUUUCACUUUUGAUUUGGCAAACCAUACAUGUAUCCACUUUUGAUUAACUUUUGUAUGCCACUUUGGAUUGUAUAUGCUUAAUUUCAACAUGUAAAUAUUUGGUUGGGUUUUGACGUGUCGGUUACUAUUCAUGGCCGACUCCGGAUUCAUUUUUUUUAUUUUGACCUUUUGACUUGUUUACGCGCAUUGUAUGUUCCGGAACGUAUUAGAUCGCUCUAAACUGAACCGUUAGUCCUGGCGAGAGUUGGGUAGGCAGUCCGCUAACCCCUUUGGUUCGCCUUAGGGGACGGUGGGGCUGUCACAUAAUUCAUAACCGAAACAGGGUUUGCCGAUAUUAAUAUUGAUACUUGAGUCGUCUGUGGACCUAUUUCGCAAUUCCAUGAACAUGACCUAUUCCAUGCGACACUUCUUCACAACCAUAAAACAUUCUUUCAGAUCUCUCUUAUCUGCCAUAUUUUCUAAUACAACAUUUGACUCCGCAAUGCACACUUGUACUCCUUACAAUGCACUCAGUUAUAGGACCCAUCACCAUUCAGGCUUCUAAGACACGCGUAGGACUGUGGUCGCGUCCUUUCAAUUUAGUUUCAUUCUUCAAUUCUAAGUUUCCGCUCAUUGUUAUCCAUGUGGCACAAUUUAGUGCAAUCUAGCAGUACACGGCAGUAAUUUAGGAAUUAUGCACCCCAAAUAAUUGAAAUUCAAAUUUCAAUUUCAAGAGAAAAUUAUGCCUUUUCAACUAUGUGCCUGAUUUUUUUUUUGACAUGUACGUCUCACAUGACAAAAAGUCGCCCAUAGCCUUUGGCCACGUGACAAAAAAGUUCAUGAGGAUUUAUGUAGUUCCGAAGAAUGGCACGUGCAGGUUCAUUACAGAAUUCGAUGGUUUUGUUCAUAGCAGUUGAUGAGUUGAAGGAGCCCCUGAAUCAAGGCAAAGAGAAAGAUGAUAAAUAUAGUUCAGUGGAGAGCAAUUGAGUCUGUUGUUGACACAUAAUAGUUGUGGAACAAGUGGGUUCCACAAGUAUUAGAUACGAUCGCCUCGUAUUUUAUGAAAUUAAUGUAAUGUACUAAUAGAUAUAUAGGGACUUGAUGUAAUAAUGUCAUGUGUAUUUUAAAAUUGAAAUUUGAAUAUUAAUACAUGUCAUCUUUGUACCUAAUGCAUUCAAAUUGAAAAAAUGCAUUUUUACAAUCAGUCCAUAGAUUGGGUAAUGAAUUAUUUACUAAUUUUAGUGUAAUUGGACUGAAAAUGUUAUAAUUAUUGAUUUGUUUCGUAAUAAGUGUCCGGACUCUACUGUUGAUCCUGUUGGGAUGCACAUCCUUCAAUGUUCAGGAAGUUUGGAUUCAAAACUGUGCCCACGUGAUGUUGAGAUGUUUUUUUCAGAUGUUAUAAUUUGCUCAUAUUACAUCGAUCAAUUGGCCGGUGUGGUUUGAAACAUAUUGAAAUAGAGGGGAUCUUUUUGGACUUCUCGUAAAUAACUUUAUUGCAGUAUUAAUGCUAAGAACCUAGUGCUUGUCGUGGCAUCCAUUUUGGUAUAGCAAGUAACAGCCACAGUUGAACUUAAUUCGUUUCUUCUGCUUGCGUCUCUUGUACUGGUGGUGUUUGAUUUUGAUGUUCGGUGGUGAAUAAUGGCGUUUGUAAGAAGUACAAGAUUGCAUUCUAUUUUGUCCAAUUGAUGAGAUCAUUUCGAUAUGAUGCGUUUGAUUAAUCACAAUAAGAGGAGUUGGGACUAAAAUUACAGAGCACGAUUGUUGAAAUUUUCUCUUUUAUCCUUUUGGCUUUUGCAUAUUUUUUAUUAGAGGAUUAAUCUCGUUGGGUUUAUAAAUUUUUUCCAAUCUUUCAGGAAUUGAAGAUUGACGUUAUCAGUGACGCUAUACUAGGCAUUGUCAUAGUGAUGGAUUAGGUCAAUAUGACCAGUGUAAUAGUUAUGGGUAUCUGAUUUUAGACUUGGUUCAACAGGUCUUUGCUGCUCAACUUGGGCCUUUGAUGAUAAUUGAUAUGGGCCUAUGUGCCUUCCUUUAUGACAAGUUACAUUCUGGACCGUCCAUUGAGCUAAUGUCUCGAACAUUUUGGGCUAGUGGAAAAUUGGCCCGAUAAGGUUUCAGUGGCUUCGCAAAUGUUCAAUCUUAAUUAUUUGAUAUUUUGUCGUAUUGUAUAAUGAACAAGCGAGGAUUGCUUGUCUUGAUAAUAUCAAGUGCCAUUGUCUUGUCUUCCUUAGCAAGCGCAGUGGUAUAUACUUCCCUAAUUUGUCGGAAUUGCGUUUGCUCCAACUAUUUGGUUGAAUAUUACGCCAUUCGAUGAAAUUUUCGUAUUUGUAAAUGUAAUUCCAAACAAUGAAUAAAUUGCUAGCGCCUUGUACGUUUGGAUGGAAGAUGAAAUGUGUAGAUGUCGAUUAGAGGUAAAAAAAAUCUCGGAUUCUUUGUGUGACAUUUAAUUGCGAAUUGGAAUAGAUAGUGAAGAUGAGCAAAACCAUUUUGGUGGGUUUCCUGAACAACUCGGAUAUAAACAAGCGAAAUAAAGAACUGGAUGCGCUUAAUUGAAUCUAGAAUUUGACUUUUGGUAAGAAUACAUCUAUUUUAAGUGAAGAAGAUGUUCUUGGUGUUGAUGAGGAAGAAAGAAGGUGUUCUUGGCAUUUCGAUGGUCAUGUCAGCUUGAUAACAUUACCCAACUCAUGGAAAUUAUUUCAAUAUAUGGGUAUCUUUGGUGGACUUAUAUAUUCUCGUCUUUUCGAAUGGUUAUAAUAUUACGAAACCAUUCGGUACGGACACGUAUGAUGGAUUGGUUGGACACGUGUCAGACGAACGGUUAGGAUUACUACAAGGAGUAUGAAAUAAAACCUAUAUUGCAAUUGAGGAGUAUGGACAGUCGGAUGGAUGAAAAUUAUGUGGUGGUCACAUAGACCUAUUUAUAUCUUAGGCUUUCGGACCUCCAAUCGUCAACUACUCAUUUUAUUUUCCAUCUAAAUGUACAGAGCACUAGAAAUUUAUUCGCAGUUUAGGAUUAUAACUUCAAAUAUGGAGAUUUCAUUGAAUGAGAUAAUUUUCGACUAGGUGAUCUGAGCAGACGGAGCUCCAACAGAUUAAGAAAAGUUUAGACCAUUGCGCUUGUUAAAAAAAGAUAAGACAAUGAAAUUUGACAUCAUCACGACAGGCGAUUCUCGCUCAUUCAUCAUACAUUACGCAAAAUGUUAAGCAAUUUGAAUUGAAUAUUCACGAAACCAUUGGAAUCUUAUUGGGUCAAUUUUUCACUGAUUCAGAAUGUUCCAAACAUAUUUGUCCAAUGAGCGGCUCAGAUCGUAACUUGUCUUGAAGAAAAGCCACAUUACAUGAACAGGGUAAGGGCCAUUCUUAGAAUCAUAAAAGGAUUUAAGAGUAGAGUAAAGAAAUGGGUCCUAGACGAACUGCUACUAUGAACUUCAGGUGGUUGAACCAACUAUCGAUCAAUAAUAUAACGAGAAAAUAAAGAAAGUAAAGAACUAAGAUUAUAUAGGCGGCUUAGCUGACCAUUCACAAGACAACAAUUUGUUUAAAUGAAGUUUAUUAAAGAUGUUUAGAAACUUAAAAAAUUGAGGAAAGCUUGAUCGUCACUUGAUCCAAUUUUGCUCCCAAGUUACAACCUAAACUACUUUAUAUUCUAAAAAUAAGAAGGAUUUCUUCAAUUUAGAGAGAGAAGUUAGCUGAAGAAAUGGUGUGUGUAGAAAGGUGAGUUUGAGGGGUAUUUAUAGUAAAAUUUUCGUUUUGCUAUGGUACCCAUUACACUGCUGUUAUAAUGCAUGCUACAGUGUACAAUGCUGAUUUUCUUGCCGUGAUUGUACAGUAGCUUGUCGGAUUACUACAGUGUUAUCCGAUCCUACAGUGAAUUCCAAAAGUACUAUUUACAAUUGUUUAUUUUUUAAAAUUUAUGAGAAAAUUUCAUAACAAUCAUUUUCAUUUUGUUGUAGUCCAUCAAACUUUCUUCUGAAUUUAAGGACUUUGGGUCUUGUUUAAGUACUUGUGACUUUCCUUUUGAUUGUAGUUGCGAAAAGAUCUGUUGGACCGAUUAGACAUAUGCUUAUUUAUUUGUGAUUGAGGUUAGUUUUGCUGUUGUUAUGGACUCCUACUGCAAAAACUAGCUUGUCUGUGGGUCGCCUAAUUUGAUUGAUUUUGGGUUCUUUUGGAACCAUGUUUUAAUGUUUGUUAGUUGAAUGAAAUCUUUAGUAAAUACUGGUCACCAUUUUGUAUAUCCUUGCCGGACAAGGAGCUGAGAAAAUUGAGCUUGUUUGAGGAAUUCAUACUUCCACUGAUAUACCCAUGCUAUUGAAAAAAAUUUAAAAUAGUGUAGGCUGAUGGGAAUAUAAUUGUUUAGUAGUUCAAAUCUUUGUUCGAAUAGUUGGUAUCCUUCCCUCAUAUCUGGUGGGAAGAUUUACAGGUUUGGUCAAUGUGUAUUCCAUUAGAUUACAAAUUAAGCUGUAAAAUUAUACUUGUUUAUCUUUAUAAAAUAAAUAGGUACAGAUACAUAUGGACCAAAAUGAAUUGGUUUAGAUCCUUUUUAGUCUAGUUUAGUUUAUUCUAGAAUCCUGCUGUGUCGACUUAGGAUGUCAGUAAGGUUAUAAGUGUUAAGAAAUCUAUGGUCUUUGGUUAGUGGGUUUGAGGAAUGGGCAAUCAACCUGAGAAGUCCAUGCCUUUUCAUUCUAGAAUAAACUAAACUAGCAUUCAUACCUAUUUUAGUUUACAAAGACAAACAAGUACAAUUUUACUACUUGGUUUGUAACAUGAUGGAAUGUACAUGGACCAAAAUUGCAGAUGCUUCCACCAGUUGUGAAUGAAGGAUACCAACUACUUGAACUAAAGUUUGAACUACCAAAUAGUUAUAUUCUCAUUAGUCUACACAAUUCUAAAAUAUUUUCAGUAAUAUUGAUAUAUCAAUGGAAAUAUGAAUUUCUUUAACAAACCCAGUUUCCUCCGCUUCUUGUCCAGCAAGGGUAUACAAAAUAGUGACCAACAUUUAUAAAAGAUUUCAUUCAGCGAGUAGAAAUUCAAGCAUGGUUUUAAAAGAACUCAAAAUCAAUCUAUCCAGGAGACCCACAGAGAAGCCAGUUUUUGCGGCAGAAGCCCAUAACAGCAGCAAACUAGCCUCAAUCACAAAUAAAUAAGAAUAUGUCUAAUAGCUCCAAUAAAUCUUUUCUCAACUACAAUUAGAAGGAAAAUCAUAGAUACCUAAACAAAAGCCAAAAUCCUCAAACUUAGAAGAAAAUUUUUCACGGUUUGCAAUAAAAUGAAGAUGACUGUUAUGAAAUUUUCUCACAAAUUUCAUAAAAUGAACAAUUGUAAACAGUACUAAUGGAAUUUGAAAACAAGCCUAUGGAUGAACUCGAAAGAUGAAUUACCAAUAUUGAACAAUCUUUCAUCACUCUUAUCAACAAACAAAAGUUAACGGAACAAGUCUCAGCCUCUAUUAACAAUUCUGUCAAACAAUUAGCCUGUAUUUUGAAAAAAUCAACAUUUCCUAUAGUUAAUCUUGUCAAACAGCCAACCUGUAUUUUGAAAGAACCUUUACCAGAAUUUUUUGCAUCAGUUGAUCAAUCCCUUAAACAAUCAACUUGUGUUCUAAAUGAAUCUACUUUAGAACCCUUAGCUUCCUCUUCAAACUAGGCAGCCAAACUCAAUUUGAUCAAACCUUCUCAUAAACCUAACUCCAAAUUGGAAGAAUCCCCAAAAACUCUAUUGUUCUAGGGAAAUUAAUUCUGAUGUCCUUCUAGAAGAAAGACCAAACAUUCUUCUAAACUCCUACAAUGUAAAUAAUAUCUGUAAAUGAAGCAGAGAUGGAAUUUCUGUAUAUAAUAUAAUCGCUGUCCUCCAACAAAUGAUGAUGGUAGCUAUGACAUACCACGUAACUCAUGGAUGUACCAAUCAACUUGCAACUCAUGUUCUCAUAAUCGAGUUCAUAGGAUAGCUCACAAUUCUGGGAUGCCUCAAUUAUGUUGCAGAAUUCAUCCCAAACCUUAGUAACUUAACCAAAUCUUUGUAUAAUAGUCUUAGUAAAUCGCCACACUUGUGAAUAGAUAAACACACUAACAUAAUCUACAAAAUCAAGACUCAUAUAAAAUCCAUUCCUUGUCUUUCUUUUCCUCAUCCUAUGGCCCAAAAAAUAGUUGAAACAAAUGCCUUAGAUAUUGGCCAUGGCAGUAUUCUAAAAAAGUCCAAAAAUGGCAAAGAACAUAUUAAUGCCUUCACUUCUAGGCAUUAGAAUAAUUUCUGACAAAACUACUCCACUAUUAAAAAGGAAGUUUUAGCUAUUGUCUAAUGCAUUUCAAAAUUUCAAGUAGAAUUAUUAAAAUCAAAAGUAUUUGUCAAGAAUAGACUGUAAAUUAGUAAAACAUGUUUUAGAAAAAGAUGUUGAAAACCUUGCUUCAAAACAAAUUUAUGCUAGAUGGUAAGCAAGUUUGUUAGUAUUUGGUUUUGAUAUCAAGUGUAUUAAAGGAUCUUCUAACUCUCUUCUUGAUUAUCCAACCCGUGAAUUUUCGUAACAAAGAUAAUGUCUAAGAAGAAGAAACAGCAAGAUGCCCUUGAGGCACAGGAAGCCUCAACCUCAUCUAUCCAAUAAAUUAUACCAAAAACAUCAAGUUCACCUGAAUUUUUAAACUCUUCACAAACCUCUAGAAAGGCUGAAAAACAAUCUCUCAUAUUACAAUUGUUCGGAACUCCUUUGACCCUAUAUCAACCAAAUCCUUACUAACCCUUUCCCAAAAAACAUGGGUUGAUAUUGUUGAAGAAGGAUAUGAUCCAACCUUACCAACCAUGAACAUCCGAAAAUAGGUCAAAACAAUGGGCCUCUCAAGCCUUUUGUCUAAAACCCAAAUAGCACCACACAAAUAAAGGGUUCAACGAAAGCCCUCUUCAAACACCUUAUCUUGUCAUUACUUCAAAAUAAAUGGCCCAAUAACCCUUAUGUAAAUUGAAUCGAAUACAUGGCAAAAUGAUCCAACAGUUAUUGCCACAGUUGUCCUUCCUCCAAACCAAAACUCUAUACCUCAAAUUUUGACAAAAUUCCUCUAAUACUAUAAGAAAAUAUUAACUGAUUCUCAUUUUGUUUCCCUUUAAACCCUAUACAGCAGAGAUAAAGGAUAAAAUUAAAGAAAAAAGAAUGAUUGAUACUCACUAUUGUGCACACUUAAAGUUAUCAGGCCCUCAAAAUAAGGAACCAACUUUGGUCAUCCAAGGUCCUUUACAAAAUCGUUCAACCCAAUAGGAUAAAUUUAUUGGGAUUACAAGGCGCAUGGUUUCAUAUUUUCUCUUAUCAAAAUGAAAUAAAUAAACACUCUUUCUUAUUCUAUUUCAAAAAGACAAACACAUACCAUUUUUCUAGUAUGAUUCGUUAAUUGGUGGAACUCACAUGGACCUAACCUAGAGGUACUUCCCAUAGAUGUUCAAACAAGAUGCAAACCUUUUGAAAAUAGAUUUGAGCUCCCUGACUAUUACAUCCCCAUCAAUUUACAUUGCUUCUCAAUUUUCUUUGUAGUUUGGGUGUUCAUAUGGAAGUUCAAAUUUAUCAUGCAAACUUGGCUUCCUCCUACGCUAGUCAGAUAGGUCCAUACUAAGUGGUGGCAAGCCUACAAAGGAGCAAUUCAAUUAAAUUAUAUUUAGGAAUGGUUCUAGAAAAAUUCCAAAGCUCUCAAGCCUAGAGAUCUACAAACUAGCCAAUUUUUUCAACAAAAUCCUUGGCAGCCGCAAAAAUUGCAUCAAUCACAGAUAAGAAAGAAUACAUUGAGUAGCUCAAGAGGACCUUAGCUCAACUUCAACCAUCACCAUUCAAAACAAAGAUAAAGCAUCAAGCUUCUACAAACAAAAAUCAACCUUAGCAUUGGAAGAAAGUGAAGAAUAACUGAACGAAGAAGAUUUGUUCUCGCAAAUCUCAUAAAAUUCAUCAUUGUAGUACCAAAAAUUAUUGUAGUAAUCCAACAAGUUACUAUGCAAACAUGGCAAGAGAAAACUGUACUGUACACUGUAGCACACACUAUAGUGAUAUUGUACAUUGUAGUGGGUACUAUAGUUGAAUGAAAAUUUUGCUAUAAAAAUUCCUUGAACUCACCGUUUCAAACACACUAAUUCUUCAGCUCACUUCUCUGUCGAAGUUAAGGAAUUCUCUCCUCCUUCUCACAAGAAAACAUUUAGGCUUUAUUUUGGAGUCUAAUUUCGAUCAAGUUUCGAUUAAGCUUCAUUCUUGUAACUCUCUAAACACCAAAGUUCAAUAAUUUUUUUUAAAGUUUGUCUUAUAUUAUUAUACUGUGAAUGGUUGGCUAUGCCAUCUAAAUACUCUUGUUAUUUAUUUUUCUUAUUUUCUUGAUAUUAUACUUGCUAUUAAUGGCCGGUUCAAUCGCUUGAACUUAUAAUGUUAGUCCGUUUGUGAUUCACUUCCUUAUUUUGUUUUAGUUGCUCUGUUUGGGCUUAUAGGGACUCCUUCUAGUCCUGCUUUGAUAUCAGAGCUAGAUGGGGAAGCGGAAUGGUAAGUAUGUUUCUUGACUUGUUAUGAUAUUUCUGGUAUGUACCUACGAGCUUAGAUCUUGUUGAUGAACAGUAAGCCUUAGAAGGCUUAUUGGGUCGCUCUGGUAUUAAGACCGUGAGAUUUGGCCGUAAGACCUGUAGGCAUGUUGAAACCCUUGGAGAAUGAUAGUACCCGUGAUGGUGAAUUGUUCUAAAAUUCAGAUCCAAUCUUUUAUAUUCAUAUUAUUUCUGUCAUAAUUUGUCUAAAGAGUAUAGUUACCUUCAUGGAUCCUGAAGGAUCUGUACCAAGGGGAAGGGUACUCCUACAUAUCAGUAUCUUGUUUUGUUAAUUUUUGUCGAUUAUUUUCCGAUCUAUUUGUCUAUCCUUAUUAACUUUUGCCUGUUAUUUACUUGUUUACUUCUUGAUGGCUUCUUUCUUUAGAUCCAAUUCUAAAAACACUAUUUCUUCAAACAUCUCUUCUCAAAACAUUCAUUUAAAGAAGAGAUCAAUUUGUAGGAUAUUAAUCAAGAAAUAGAUAAUUGAAAAUUUUCUAGGUAUCAAGAAACUGAAAUAUAUCAAAGUAAUAAAUGAUAGAGAAUCACUAUUGAUUAUACAAUUAAAACAAUUGAACAAAUUAUAGUUUUAAAUUCUGAUCGUGAAGAAAUUAAACUCUUAACAAAGAAAGCUGUUGAGAGAUAUCAACAAAAAUACAACUACAACCACUUUGAACUUGUAAAAAUUGCAAUUAAACCCCUGACAAGAGAAGGACUGGACACAUCUCUACUCCUUUUUCUUCGAGAUUGCAGAUUCCUAAAUUUUCAUUGCUUGGAAUGACUGAAACAGGUCUAUGCAGAGAACUAGUUUAUUUUGACUGCUUCAAACUUUACAGUGUCCCUUCAAGAUAGUAGCAUUUUGAAGCUAUAAUUUGCAAGAUUCAAUACAUGGUGAUGAGUUUAGCAUUUAGCACUAGAGCCUUGAAGACAACUAAAAAAGAAGAAACAAUACUUUUCUAAAUAGAUCUAGCUAACUCUAGGAUAUCUAUUCCUAAAAUCAUCACAUGGGAUGAGGUAUCACUCCUAGAUGAUUGGAUGCUACCAAAAAUAUUUCCCAAUGUCCCAGCUCAAAACACAAUAGUCUCAAGUAUCAAACAACUUCUUACUAGAACAUCCAAAUCAAGUUUGAUAGAUCAAGAAGUUUUAGGACAUCUUCCUCAACUAGUACUAAUAUAGACAUUCUUGACACUGGAAGACGUUCAGUCUCUUCCAUCUCCACUAGACUUCAUAACUUAGAUCUAUCCUUAAGGAUCCUUCAAGCAAUAUAAACAGUCCAAACAAAAACAGUUUCAAAAGAUCAAGGAGAAUCUUCUGAAGAAAACACGAUCCAUGGAGAUCUCUGGUAUAUCUUACAUACUCCACUAUGACAAACAAUCCAUUGUCAGAGCUGAAAGUUCUUACUACUGAGUACCAAAUUGACAAAAAAAAAAGCCUCAAAAAAGAAUUUUAUGCAAAACAUAGUCAAUUCAAGAGACGAUUGUUCUUUGACACGUGCAAAGAAGAAACCAAAAAAGUAAUAUGGGAAGUCUUCUACAGUUUUCUAAGAAGAAUAGAAUAGCAUAUCCAGUUCUUUAAUUGGUUUGAAGUCUAUGCCCUAAGAAACGAGAUAGAGUAUCCAUUCUCAUCAUCCAUUUGCAUUUUAAGAAAAUGGCAAACUUCAGAUGGAAAAAUUCACGCAGAAUUUCCUCCAUCAAAAAACAUUACUUUUUCAUACAAUUCCACAGAAAAUUAGUGCCAAACCAUUCAAAAUAAAAAAUGUCCAAGAAGAAGACCCUAUAAAUGCCAAAGACUUAAAUGUAAUACAUGAGCAAAACAAUUACACCAAUAAAUAUCUCAAACCCUUAGAGAAUACCUCCUUACUAGACCAAAAGCUUCUUCUUCCAUAACUACUUUUUCCUCCAAUCUCUUUUUCAGAUCAUAUGAAAUACUAAGCAAAUUUCAAAAAAUUUUCAAAACCAGCCUAUGGAUGAACUUGAAAAACGAAUUGCCAAAAUUGAACAAUCUGUUAUCAUUUCCAGAAACAAACAAAAGUCAGCAGAACAAGUCUCAACCUCCAUUAAUCAAACCUUUCAAAUAGUCAACCUAUAUUUGGAAAACUUGGAGUCUCCUACAUCAGUUAAUCUUGUCAAACAGCCAUCCCGUAUUUUGGAAGAACUCUUACUAGAAUCCCUACAUCAAUUAAUCAACCCCCAAACAAUCAGCAUGUGUCCUAAACGAACCUUCAGAACCCUUAACUUCCUCUUCUAACCGGGCAGCCAAACUCAACUUAACCAAACCUUCCCAUAACUCAACUCCAAAUUGGAAGAAUCCCAAAAAAUUCUAUUAUUCUACGACAACUUAUCGUGAUGUUCUUCUAGAAGAAAGACCAAACAUUCUUUAAAACUUUACAAUGCAAACAAUAUCUAUGAAUGGAGCAUAGGUAGAGUUUCUGAAUAUAAUAUAAUCACUAUUCUUCAACAAAUGACAAUGGUAGUUCUGGCGUACUGCACAACUCAUGGAUGUACUAAUCAACUUGAAGCUCAUGUCCUCAUAAUCAGAUUCUUAGGACAACUCAAAGAAUAGUGGGAUGAACAUCUCACUUCAUAACACAGAAAAAAUCUUGAAUGCAAUCAAACUUGAUACAGAUAGAGAACCAAUUCUACAGGAUGGUGACACUAUUCCAGAUACAGUUGCAACCCUAAUCUUUACCAUUGCAAAAACAUUUAUUAAUCAUCCGAGAAUAUUCAAAGACAAAUCUUCAAAAUUGCUAAACAACCUCAAAUGUGGGAAUCUUUCAAAUUUUUGAUGGUAUAAAGACACUUUCCUGACUUGUAUAUACGCCUAGACAGAUGAAAAUCAAGUUUAUUGGAAAGAAAAGUUCUGAGACGGUCUUCUCAAAUCAUUGAGAGAUCUUGUUUGCAAAUAAAUCCGGAUUCAAUAUGAUGGUAUGUACCUUGGGAAACAAUUAGUUAUGGACAGUUAACAAGCCAAGUUCAACAAGUCGCUCUGACGAUUUGUAGGCAAGACAAAAUGCUUAGACAACUUGCAAAGGAUCGAGCACAAAGAAUAAAAGACCUUAGUUCUUUCUAUGAACAAUUUGGCUUAUCUAGUUGCCAUUUAAAGGCUAAAAGGAAAUCUAAGCUUUCACCAAAACCUGCUCAAUAAAAGCAAAGAAAAACCUUACCUUAUAAACCUAGAAAACACAUUUCUUCUCCAAAUAUGAAUCCAACUACUAUACAACAUUUGCCACCAGCCUUACCAAUUACUAUUUGCCACAAAUGCAAACAACCUGGAUAUAUUGUUAGAUAUUACAAAAUGAAUAGAAGAAUUAGCAUGCUUGGUCUAGACGAGCAAGUGCUAAACCAACUAUCCAAUCUCCUUGCAAAAGCCAGCAGUGAUGAUUCAGAAUAAGAAGAAGAAAUUUAUGCAAACCAACUAGAGGAUGAUGAUGUUUCAUCUCUUUCACUACUAUUAGUGACGAAGAUGAAAGAAGGAACUGUAAAUGUCUUGACAAAAGAACAGGAUCUCCUCCUAGUUGUUAUUGAAACCAUUCCUAACCCUGAGAAGAAACAAUUUUAUCUUAAUAGAUUCAAAGAAUCCCUAAACAAACUACCAAAUACUUCCUCAAACCCAUUAACUAGAGAUCUUAAACUCCUCAAUACUUACAAUCUCACAGACAUUAUUAAUUGAAUCUUAUCUAAAUUGGUGAAACCAAUAUCAAUUCAAAACCUCCAGUUUGAAAUUGCUCUUCUCAAAGAGGAAAUUAGAGCAAUCAAGGAAAAACAAGAACUUAAUAGCCUUGUCCUACAAAACCAUGCUACCUCACAAUCAAAAUCCUUGAAAAUCUUACCAGAGAACUCAACCACACAAGAUGAUAUAGAAUUCCUAAACCGUCCAGAAUUUCUCACAAAAUUGUUGGUUCAGAUCAAGCUAGUUAUUUGGGAUGACUAUAUACUUAAAACAUAAACCCUCUUUGAUUUAGGAACUAACCUUAGUUUUAUUCAAGAAGGACUUGUUCCCACCAAAUUCUUUGAAACAACUAAGGAAGGACUCCGAGGAGCAAAUUGCUCUAAAUUAGACAUUCAUUUUAAACUCCCUAGUGUGACAAUCUAAUUUUUGACAGUUUUGAACAAAGAAAACUUUCUUCUAGCCAAUGACCUUUCAGACAAUAUAAUGCUAGGAAUUUUCUUCAUUUUAUCACUUGUUUCUUACCUAGUUACUCAUAAAGGAAUCGUGCCACAAAAUUAUGGCUCAGAAGCCCUUCUUCUUUUUUUCAAAAAAACUAAAACAAAAUUAGAUCCCUAGGCAAAACAUUCAAUCUAACCAAAGAAUUGUUUUCUAAUCUCUCUUGCAGGAAAAUAUCUAUUGAAGGAAGCUCAACGACCAACUCCCUCCAAACUCUUGGAGAAACUGAAGAACAUCUUUCUAUAAAACUUGCAAAUGAUGCUAUCUCACAUCUCAUGGCAGAUCAUUAUUCCUGUCAACAAAAAUAUGGAGAAUCUAGAAUUAGAAAUUAUGAUACUAUAUUCUAUGAUUGUGAAACCAAUGAUGGAUCCCUGUUUAACUCAAACACAAGCAUGACAAUGUUUGUAUAAGGCCUACAAACUCAAUUCAAAUCUUAAAAAUCAAUGCUUCACAAAGAUGAGAAAGGUCUAGAGGAUGAUUCUCGGUAGACAAUGGCUCAACAAACGAGGAGUUAAAGCAUCACAAUAUGAUGACUAGAUUCGAGAAAUAUUAGAAGAAAUAUUUGCAACCAUCUUCUAAAAGAUGCUCGAAAGAACUCUAAAAACUAAAGUAAAAAUGAAGAAAUCAACAAAGGAAUGCAACAAGCUGGCUGAACUUGCUAAUGCUGUCCCAAAAACUCAUAUCUAAAUCAAGAUAGUAGUUAGAACAAAAAAUUGAAGACAAGAAUAAUCAGAAAUAAUUUAGUUAGAAUUCACCGCAGUACUGAAAAUCACUAUAACAAUCAAACAAGUUAAUUUGCAAACAUGGCAGGAGAAAUUUGCAUUGUACACUGUAGCAAUACUAUGCGUUGUAGAACAAAAAUUUUGCUAUAAAAACCCCUCAAACUCAUCAUUUCAAACACACUAGUUCUUCAACUUACUUUUCUCUCUAAGUUGAAGAAUUCUCUCAUCCUUCUUCCUAGAAAACAUUUAGUUUAGGCUUUAGCUUGGAGUCAAACUUCAAUCAAGUUCCGAUCAAUCUUCAUUAUUGUAAGCUUCUAAACUCCAAACUUCAAUAAACUUCUUUUUAAAUUUGUCUUAUAUUGUUAUAUUAUCAAUGGUCGGUUAAGCCGCCUAGAUACUCUUAUUAUUUACUUUCCUUACUUUCUUGGUAUUAUACUUGCCACUAAUGGUCAGUUCAACCGUCUGAAUUCAUAGUGGCAAUUUUUCUAUGUCCCACUUCCGUACUCUGC
rnacentral:lncRNA from 1 species